CAGGCACCAAGUGAUCCGUGCUUCCCGAACAGUUGCUCUGGAGGUGAUCGAUGUGUCGUGCUGAAGAUGGGGACCGGUAUCUGUGUACAGCCAGGCCCAGUCCAAAAAGACGACACCACACAGAUUGAUAUGUCGGGAGAUGGCGACGAAAUAAUGGUGAGCGAACCACUGUUCUACGAUGGCCCCGAAAUAAUGGUAGGCGAACCACUCUACUAUCCCAUCGCGGACACCGGUUAGUCCACAAGGUGACGGCUAUGGACAAUGCACCAUGCAUGGACACACUGCAAAACUUUGAAAUCGCUUUUUUGAUGGACUCUUACAGAUCAUUACGCUGCUCCAUCCGCCAAUCAAAAGCGACGUUAUAAACAGCGACGUCAUUUUACGUUAUGGACUGACAACAUAAAGAUAAUCGAUCUUUAUGCUUUAAUAAAGUAAAAUCUGGUCAAACAAAACGCUCGCACUACCUGCUAUAGACACCCGGAAGUGUAACGGCAUGGUUAUUUUGUGUUAUAUGUCUGAUCCACAUAAGCUUUUUUUAUUCUCAUGAAACUAGCAUUUUACGCGUGUUUUGUCGAAAUUUGCAGGUAACUUAACAAAUUAAAUGUCAAAAUCAAGACCCAUGGAUAGCCAUGAUACAUGUUAACUAUUGGUCAAGUUACUUCUGUUUACUAGCAACAGAAUAGUGAUUUUAGGCUUGUAAAAUAUCAUUUGAUUUACUAUUUACAUGAACCAUAAGCAAAAUUAAUGAAAAUAACAAUAUCAAAAUAGUGCAGGAAAUCUUUCAAAAACAUGUACCUAGUACUUGAUUUAGAGAGAUAUUAGUUUUAACCUUUGAAAAAACUGUAUCAAUGAUAUUUACCAGAAAAGAGACCAUACAUCCACAUAUAGUUCAGUAAUUCCUCUCCUACUCACUAAGGCGUAUAUAUGUACUCUCAGUGAUAUUAGCUUUCUAUACAACCUACUGAUUAUUUACUGAAAAUGAUUAUUGUUUAGACGGAGGCAGAUUUGAAAUAGUUAAAUCCACCCAUUGGGAAAACUGAUGAAAAUAAUGAUCAACUGAAACUAUUAAUGUCCAUCAUUAUAACUGCUGUAAAUGUACUUUGACUUUAAUUCAAGCAUUGUUUCAAGUAUUGUUGUAUUUUGAACAUUAUAUUUUGUUAUUAUUAACACAAAUAAAACAUAGAAGCUGUC